rnacentral:rRNA from 1 species
UACGAAGGGGGCUAGCGUUGCUCGGAUUGACUGGGCGUAAAGGGCGCGUAGGCGGAUAGUACAGUCAGGCGUGAAAUUCCUGGGCUCAACCUGGGGGCUGCGUUUGAUACGUAUUGUCUGGAGUUCGGAAGAGGGUCGUGGAAUUCCCAGUGUAGAGGUGAAAUUCGUAGAUAUUGGGAAGAACACCGGUGGCGAAGGCGGCCAUCUGGACCGCAACUGACGCUGAGGCGCGAAAGCGUGGGGAGCAAACAGG